AUUGAACGCUGGCGGCAUGCUUUACACAUGCAAGUCGAACGGUAACAGGUUAAGCUGACGAGUGGCGAACGGGUGAGUAAUGUAUCGGAACGUGCCCAGUCGUGGGGGAUAACGUAGCGAAAGCUACGCUAAUACCGCAUACGAUCUGUGGAUGAAAGCGGGGGACCGUAAGUCCUCGCGCGAUGGGAGCGGCCGAUAUCAGAUUAGGUAGUUGGUGGGGUAAAGGCCCACCAAGCCAACGAUCUGUAGCUGGUCUGAGAGGACGACCAGCCACACUGGGACUGAGACACGGCCCAGACUCCUACGGGAGGCAGCAGUGGGGAAUUUUGGACAAUGGGGGCAACCCUGAUCCAGCAAUGCCGCGUGCAGGAAGAAGGCCUUCGGGUUGUAAACUGCUUUUGUACGGAACGAAAAGGCUCUGGUUAAUACCUGGGGUUUAUGACGGUACCGUAAGAAUAAGCACCGGCUAACUACGUGCCAGCCGCCGCAGUAA
rnacentral:rRNA from 1 species